rnacentral:lncRNA from 1 species
UCUGAGCCCUCUCGAUGUCCUGUGCAGUGCCUUCAGGCUGGAUGUCCUCUAGGCCUCGCCUCUCCCACAGCCUGAGGGUGGCUGUGGCUUGGGGAUGUCCACUCCCCCAGUCCUCCUCUCCCACGGACAGCCCUGAGCCCUCCUGCUCCCCUGCCCUCCGUCUCCUGGCCCAGCCUCCUUGGCCCAUGGCCUUGCCCACUCUGCGUCACCCCUCACCCCUCCCUGCUUUUGCCCUCACUGUCCCCUCGGCCCGGGAUGCCCUGGCCUGCCUCAGCGGGCUCCGCUCAAGCCCAGCCCCUCUGCAAAGCUUCCCGUCCUGCUCCAGGAUUUGGGCCUGGCCCGCAUGCCCAGGGUGGUGAUGGUGGCCUUUCUCCAGGGCCUGCUGACGGGAGGAGCCCCCUCCCAGGACUGUGGGUCCUUGGAGGCAGAGAGCUCCCCCACCUCAGAAGCUGCCCGGGGUGGGGCGUGCCGCGGGCCUGCAGGUCUGUCUGCCAGAAACCCCCAGUUUCUGUGGGGUCAGCCCCGACUCCACUGGCCCUCCUUUAUUAGUGACAGUGAGGGGUCCCGCAGCCCAGAAGCCUUGGGUCCCUGACCCUGGAUUGUUAACCAGACCCCUGGCAGCUGAGCUUGGCUGGAACCCCGACAGCCUGCAGAGGGAACCAAAAUGUUUCCAGCAUGGGUGCUGAGCGCUGGCAUCAGCCAGGGUGCUUUCCACCUGGGGUUGCUGUCUCCCCAGUGGUGUCUGGGUUGCUGUCCUGGCCUCAGCUGCCAACCUGGA